GACAGAGGGGGCAAGCGUUGCUCGGAAUCACUGGGCGUAAAGGGCGCGUAGGCGGGAUGGCAAGUCAGUCGUGAAAUCUCUCGGCUCAACCGAGAAACGUCGGCUGAUACUGCCGUUCUUGAGGGAUGCAGAGGAGACUGGAAUUCCCGGUGUAGCGGUGAAAUGUGUAGAGAUCGGGAGGAACACCGGUGGCGAAGGCGGCAUCCUGGACCGGCAUUGACGCUGAGGCGCGAAAGCUAGGGGAGCAAACGGG
rnacentral:rRNA from 1 species